AUUGAACGCUGGCGGCAGGACUAACACAUGCAAGUCGAACGAGGGGCGGACGGGUGAGUAAUGUCUGGGAAACUUCCCGAGGGGGGGGUAUAACUACGAGAAAACGUAGACACAACCGCCAACCCUCGUAAGUGCCAAGAGGGGAUUAGCUAGUAGGUGGGGUAACGGCUCACCUAGGCGACGAACCCUAGCUGGUCUGAGAGGUAGACCAGCCACACUGGAACUGAGACACGGUCCAGACUCCUACGGGAGGCAGCAGUGGGGAAUAUUGCACAAUGGGCGCAAGCCUGAUGCAGCCAUGCCGCGUGUAUGAAGAAGGCCUUCGGGUUGUAAAGUACUUUCAGCGAGGAGGCGUUACUCGCAGAAGAAGCACCGGCUAACUCCGUGCCAGCCGCCGCGGUAAUUC
rnacentral:rRNA from 1 species